UGGACAGAUUAUUGUAUUCGAUUGUAUUCACGGCGUGAAACAGGGGAUUACACUGUUUUUAAACGGAAAGUGAAUCAAUUAACAUAAUAGACUCCU
rnacentral:pre_miRNA from 1 species